CGGCAGCUCAAGUGGUAUCCGCUUUUACUGGGCUUAAAGCGUUCGUAGUCGGACGCGUCAGUCCUCGGUGAAAUCCUGCCGCUUAACGGUAGGUCUGGCCGAGGAUACUGCGCAUCUUGAGGCCGGGAGAGGCAUGGGGUAUUCCAGGGGUAGCGGUGAAAUGCUAUAAUCCUUGGAGGACCACCAGUGGCGAAGGCGCCAUGCUGGAACGGGCCUGACGAUGAGGGACGAAAGCUAGGGGAGCGAACGGGAUUAGAUACCCCAGUAGUCC
rnacentral:rRNA from 1 species